rnacentral:rRNA from 1 species
GGAAUAUUGGACAAUGGGCGCAAGCCUGAUCCAGCCAUGCCGCGUGCAGGAUGACGGUCCUAUGGAUUGUAAACUGCUUUUAUACAGGAAGAAACACUACUUCGUGAAGUAGCUUGACGGUACUGUAAGAAUAAGGAUCGGCUAACUCCGUGCCAGCAGCCGCGGUAAUACGGAGGAUCCAAGCGUUAUCCGGAAUCAUUGGGUUUAAAGGGUCCGUAGGCGGUUUAAUAAGUCAGUGGUGAAAGCCCAUCGCUCAACGGUGGAACGGCCAUUGAUACUGUUAGACUUGAAUUAUUAGGAAGUAACUAGAAUAUGUAGUGUAGCGGUGAAAUGCUUAGAGAUUACAUGGAAUACCAAUUGCGAAGGCAGGUUACUACUAAUUGAUUGACGCUGAUGGACGAAAGCGUGGGUAGCGAACAGGAUUAGAUACCCGAG